GCGAGUUGACUACUCGC
rnacentral:ribozyme from 1 species